AUUGAACGCUGGCGGAAUGCUUUACACAUGCAAGUCGAACGAUGAACCUUAGCUUGCUAAGGGGAUUAGUGGCGAACGGGUGAGUAAUAUAUCGGAACGUGCCUUGUAAUGGGGAUAACUAGUCGAAAGAUUAGCUAAUACCGCAUACGCCCUGAGGGGGAAAGUAGGGGAUCUUCGGACCUUACGUUAUAAGAGCGGCCGAUAUCUGAUUAGCUAGUUGGUGGGGUAAUGGCCUACCAAGGCGACGAUCAGUAGCUGGUCUGAGAGGACGACCAGCCACACUGGAACUGAGACACGGUCCAGACUCCUACGGGAGGCAGCAGUGGGGAAUUUUGGACAAUGGGCGCAAGCCUGAUCCAGCCAUUCCGCGUGAGUGAAGAAGGCCUUCGGGUUGUAAAGCUCUUUCGCAAGGGAAGAAAACUUACCAUCGAAUAAAUGGUGAGGCUGACGGUACCUUGAUAAGAAGCACCGGCUAACUACGUG
rnacentral:rRNA from 1 species